AAGUCGUAACAAGGUUUCCGUAGGUGAACCUGCGGAAGGAUCAUUACCUGGAACGGUCUCGUAGGAUGCAAAAUAAAUCUGAAAUUAAACUAAGUUUUUUGAUUUCAGAGUUGCUCCGAAAAGACUAAAGAUUAAAACAGCCCCAAGAAACUCGUAAUUCUUGGACGGCAGUGAGAAUUUGGUUUAAUUGGUAUUUGCUUUUGCCCGUAACAACGGCAGGAAAGAGUUAAAAUGAACUAAUUCUCAUUGGUCUCUAACCACUUAAUAUGUUUUAUUUACUCUGGAAUUUUGUUUUUUAUGAAUAAUAAAUGACAACUUUUAACGGUGGAUCUCUUGGCUCGUG
rnacentral:misc_RNA from 1 species